GACGAACGCUGGCGGCGUGCCUAAUACAUGCAAGUCGAGCGGAUCUUCAUUAGCUUGCUUUUGAAGAUCAGCGGCGGACGGGUGAGUAACACGUGGGCAACCUGCCUGUAAGACUGGGAUAACUUCGGGAAACCGGAGCUAAUACCGGAUAAUCCUUUUCCUCUCAUGAGGAAAAGUUGAAAGACGGUUUCGGCUGUCACUUACAGAUGGGCCCGCGGCGCAUUAGCUAGUUGGUGAGGUAACGGCUCACCAAGGCGACGAUGCGUAGCCGACCUGAGAGGGUGAUCGGCCACACUGGGACUGAGACACGGCCCAGACUCCUACGGGAGGCAGCAGUAGGGAAUCUUCCGCAAUGGACGAAAGUCUGACGGAGCAACGCCGCGUGAGCGAUGAAGGCCUUCGGGUCGUAAAGCUCUGUUGUCAGGGAAGAACAAGUACCGGAGUAACUGCCGGUACCUUGACGGUACCUGACCAGAAAGCCACGGCUAACUACGUGCCAGCAGCCGCCGUAAGAC
rnacentral:rRNA from 1 species